rnacentral:rRNA from 1 species
GACGAACGCUGGCGGCGUGCUUAACACAUGCAAGUCGAACGGAAAGGCCCUGCUCUUGUGGGGUGCUCGAGUGGCGAACGGGUGAGUAACACGUGAGUAACCUGCCCUUGACUUUGGGAUAACUUCAGGAAACUGGGGCUAAUACCGGAUAGGAGCUCCUGCUGCAUGGUGGGGGUUGGAAAGUUUCGGCGGUUGGGGAUGGACUCGCGGCUUAUCAGCUUGUUGGUGGGGUAGUGGCUUACCAAGGCUUUGACGGGUAGCCGGCCUGAGAGGGUGACCGGCCACAAUGGGACUGAGAUACGGCCCAGACUCCUACGGGAGGCAGCAGGGGGGAGUAUUACGCAAUGGGCGGAAGCCUGAUGCAGCAACGCCGCGUGCGGGAUGACGGCCUUCGGGGUAUAAACCGCUUUCGCCUGUGACGAAGCGUGAGUGACGGUAAUGGGUAAAGAAGCAACGGCUAACUACGUG